rnacentral:rRNA from 1 species
GCAGCAGCCGCGGGAAUACGUAGGGUGCGAGCGUUAAUCGGAAUUACUGGGCGUAAAGCGUGCGCAGGCGGUUGUGUAAGACAGGUGUGAAAUCCCCGGGCUUAACCUGGGAACUGCGCUUGUGACUGCACAGCUAGAGUAUGGCAGAGGGGGGUGGAAUUCCACGUGUAGCAGUGAAAUGCGUAGAGAUGUGGAGGAACACCGAUGGCGAAGGCAGCCCCCUGGGCCAAUACUGACGCUCAUGCACGAAAGCGUGGGGAGCAAACAGGAUUAGAGACCCCUGUAGUCCCUGUCUCUUAUAC